rnacentral:rRNA from 1 species
UUUAAUUGAUAUGAAGAGCUUGCUCUGAUUUGAUUUUAUCUGACAAAGAGUGGCGAACGGGUGAGUAACACGUGGGUAACCUACCUCUUAGCAGGGGAUAACAUUUGGAAACAAGUGCUAAUACCGUAUAACACUAACAACCGCAUGGUUGUUAGUUGAAAGAUGGUUCUGCUAUCACUAAGAGAUGGACCCGCGGUGCAUUAGCUAGUUGGUAAGGUAAUGGCUUACCAAGGCGAUGAUGCGUAGCCGAGUUGAGAGACUGAUCGGCCACAAUGGGACUGAGACACGGCCCAUACUCCUACGGGAGGCAGCAGUAGGGAAUCUUCCACAAUGGGCGCAAGCCUGAUGGAGCAACGCCGCGUGUGUGAUGAAGGGUUUCGGCUCGUAAAACACUGUUAUAAGAGAAGAACGACAUUGAGAGUAACUGUUCAGUGUGUGACGGUAUCUUAUCAGAAAGGAACGGCUAAAUACGUGCCAGCAGCCGCGGUAAUACGUAUGUUCCAAGCGUUAUCCGGAUUUAUUGGGCGUAAAGCGAGCGCAGACGGUUAUUUAAGUCUGAAGUGAAAGCCCUCAGCUCAACUGAGGAAGGGCUUUGGAAACUGGAUAACUUGAGUGCAGUAGAGGAAAGUGGAACUCCAUGUGUAGCGGUGAAAUGCGUAGAUAUAUGGAAGAACACCGGUGGCGAAAGCGGCUUUCUGGACUGUAACUGACGUUGAGGCUCGAAAGUGUGGGUAGCAAACAGGAUUAGAUACCCUGGUAGUCCA